rnacentral:lncRNA from 1 species
AACACUUUCAGUAACUUUCGAUUCCUUUCACAGGGCGUGGACCGACUGAGAGCAUAAGAGAGGAAACCAAAGAAGAGAGAAAAAAAACGACGCAAUGGCUGAUUUGAGUAAAGUAGUAGAAGAGGGACCAUCAAAAGAUGUGAAGCAGUCUUAUAAUGUGAAAACCACAACAGACAGCGAGCUCUUCCCAUCACCAAUUUAAUUAAUAUCCCAUAAAUUAUGUCUGGGUGUAUAUUUGGUUGGAGGGGUUGUAGAUGAAGAUGCAGAUGAACUAGAUUCUUUAGAUGAGGGACAUACUCCACAUCUUCCAUUCUGCUGUAGAGAUCUCAAGUUUCAUUCAUGUUGGCAUACACUCAAACCUGGGGCCUCAUAUAUUAACC